rnacentral:rRNA from 1 species
AUCAACUUUCGAUGGUAGGAUAGAGGCCUACCAGGUGGUAACGGGUAACGGGGAAUUAGGGUUCGAUUCCGGAGAGGGAACCUGAGAAACGGCUACCACUUCCAAGGAAGGCAGCAGGCGCGCAAAUUACCCAAUCCCGACACGGGGAGGUAGUGACAAUAAAUAACAAUACGGGGCUCUUUAGGGUCUCGUGAUUGGAAUGAGUACAAUUUAAAUCCCUUAACGAGGAACAAUUGGAGGGCAAGUCUGGUGUCAGCAGCCGCGGUAAUUCCAGCUCCAAUAGCGUAUAUUAAAGUUGUUGCAGUUAAAAAGCUCGUAGUUGAAUUUCGGGAUUGACGUGAUGGUCGUGCCUUACGGGGUAUGAACUGUUGCUGUUGAUUUCUCACCUUCUGGAGAAACUUGAUGUCCUUAAUUGGGUGUCUUGCGGAUCCAGGACCUUUACCUUGAAAAAAUUAGAGUGUUUAAAGCAGGCAUUUUGCUCGAAUACAUUAGCAUGGAAUAAUAGAAUAGGACGGCAUGGUUCUAUUUUGUUGGUUUCUAGGAUCACCGUAAUGAUUAAUAGGGAUAGUUGGGGGCAUUAGUAUUCAAUUGUCAGAGGUGAAAUUCUUGGAUUUAUUGAAGACUAACUACUGCGAAAGCAUUUGCCAAGGAUGUUUUCAUUAAUCAAGAACGAAAGUUAGGGGAUCGAAGACGAUCAGAUACCGUCGUAGUCUUAACCAUAAACUAUGCCGACUAGGAAUCAGACGAUGUUAAUUUUUUAAUGACUCGUUUGGCACCUUACGGGAAACCAAAGUGUUUGGGUCC